GAUGAAGAACGUAGCAAACUGCGAUAAGUAAUGUGAAUUGCAGAAUUCAGUGAAUCAUCGAAUCUUUGAACGCACAUUGCGCCCGCCAGUAUUCUGGCGGGCAUGCCUGUUCGAGCGUCAUUUCAACCAUCAAGCCCCAGGCUUGUGUUGGGGACCUGCGGCUGCCGCAGGCCCUGAAAACCAGUGGCGGGCUCGCUGUCACACCGGGCGUAGUAGAUUUUAUCUCGCUCAGGGCGUGCUGCGGGUUCCGGCCGUUAAAAAGCCUUUUUUACCCAAGGUUGACCUCGGAUCAGGUAGGAAGACCCGCUGAACUUAAGCAUAUCAAUAAGCGGAGGA
rnacentral:misc_RNA from 1 species